AGGAGGGCUCCCAGGGCUUAGGGCUAGGCCCGAGGGUGGGGGCCUGGCAAGGACAAAGGCUCUUUGUGCAGAGUCCUUGCACACCUUAUCUGCAGGGAUUAGAGGAGGAGGGACUUCCCAAAUGGAAAAGCUGACCCAGGGGACACCCGGGAAGCCCCUGAGGGAAGGGCUCUGAGCCUGUGCAGGCUGCUCACUGGCACUCUCUGGGGGCUGCUGGCUGGUCCCCUUUUCUGACCCAAAUCCAGCACGUUGCUGAGAAAGGGCUUGGGCAUGGGAGGAGGGGGCGCUCCAGGGGCUUUGGGCUGGGCCAUAGAGAAGGCGCCCACUGGGGGAGGCAGCCCAUGGAGGAAGAGGCCCUGGGAGUCUGCUUGCCCACAGAGCAGGCAUUCCAGAGGGCACAAGGAAUGGGGGGUGGGCAGGGGGGUGGCCAGAUGACCUGCAGGGGGAGGAGCCUGUUACUUAUUAAGGAUUAAGCCUUGCUUGGGUUGACCUUGGAAUUCUCUGUGGCCUCAGUGGCAGUGGGUGGCCUCCAUUUAGUCACCCGAGGGCCCUGGGCCUGCUCAGGCUCCAUCUUCUUUGGCUCGGGCACUUGGACUCGACAUGUUGGCGACCCCAGAGCCUGAGGGCUCCCUCAUUCCUGGGCUGCUCUUUCAGAGACUGAGCUCUGCAGCCUGGCUUUUAGGGUUAGGCUUGCCAGGGACGUGGCCCGAGUGGAGGGCAGGAGGUAAGGAGGGAAGCCCCAACCAAGCGUCCUGAGAGGAGGGAGACAGCAGGCUUCAAAGGAGCGGGAAAGAGACACUCGGAGGGUCGCUGGCCUGGCAUCCUGGGAAGCCAUAUUGGAGCCUGUCAGUCACCGAGGACUCCCUUCAUCCUAGGCACAGGUCCAUGUGGGGGCCCCCAAAGACCAGAUGGGGCCACGGCUGCAUUUUCCUUUUAUGGAUAGCAGUUGGGCAGCUGCGGUCAAUGACAUUAGGAGAAAGACCUACUUUGUAAACUGAGGCAGCUGGUGGCACAACUAAGUGCCUUUGGGCAGCCAGAAAGACCCUCCCUCGGUAGACCUCAGUUUCCCCACCUGCAAAACAAGGACAACCAUAGCACCCCCUGCAUAGCUGUUGUGAAGAUCUAUUACAAGUGUGUAGCAGUGUUCCCGGAGCAGGAUGCAGGGGCCGUCCAAGUGCUCGUUCGCCUGGCAGGACAGUGGUUAGGGCCCGACCCAGGGGAGAGGGAGAGGAGGGAAGUAGCCCAAAGGAGGAGCACCAAGGGGGUUCUGGUCUGGCCUUCGUGUCCCUGGAAGGACGGAUCUGAGAGGGAACGCAAGCUGUCUCUUUUGGGACCUACAGUUGGGCUGGUUAGAGAUUUGGCCAGAGAGCAGAGCUGGGCACGAAGCUGUGGGAGGCUCCUGUACAGGCAGAGCCUUGGGACAGAUGAGCUGCCCACAUGGCUCUUUAGUGGGAGGGAGGGUGACCCAGCAGAGGAGACUAAGACGAUGGGCAGGCAGAGAAGCGGGUCUGGGGGUGCAAUUGAUGGCAGUACCAGAGCUGAGGAAAGCUCAAGGGAGGAUGAAGCAGAGAAGCCUUUGCUUCCUCCUUAAGACAUCCUCUCUCAGUCAUCUCACUUGGGUCUGACCAGGUGACCCCAUUCGGGAUUUUCUUGCAGACUUUCCAAUGGUUUGCCAUUUCCUGCUCAUUUUUUGCUGGGGGCCAUCAGACCACGGCGCCUUGACAGAGUCACGCGUGGUAGCUGGGGAGACCACAGAGUGGUCCUUGGCGAGAGGUGCAUCAUUCCCAGCAAAACCGCAGCUGCAGGCCAAGCCCAGAACUUUCUCAUAAGCCAGCACACAAAUCAAUCGUAGAGGCCCAAGUGAGAAGUACAGGUACAUCAAGCUUCAAUAUGCCUCAGUGACUCAAUCACACAAAUCAGUAACUCAAACUCCCUAGUAAGCCACGUGUGAUGAAUUCAUUUCUCUUGUAUUCUGUCUGUAAUCACAAUACAAGAAGAUAGAAUGUUAGUCAGGUGAUUGGUUAAAAGUUAAUGUAUCACUUUUCCAAUUAUCUCUCUAUGAUUUUGUGUAUCUGCAUGCCAAUAAAAUGGGUAUAAAAAUAAAUGCCAGGCCUGGGAAUGUCGGAGCAGCUGAGAUGUGAAGCAGUCCCAUGGCCAUUAUAAUUAA